AAUGGCUGACACAGUUAAAAAAUUAAUUCACCCAACCUAAAGACGGCCAAUGGGUCUGUGUUCCAGAUCCAUGCUAACUCUAUUCCUAACAUGGAAUGCAUGGGUUGACAGUUUUGGGAUAGUAGCAAUUUUAAAUUUUUGUUUGUCUCAAAGUCUGGCAGUGAGCAACAUGAAAAAUACUUCUUGAAGCAGGGAUACAAGAGGACGGUAUCAUGAACUGCUGUACUGAAUGAAGCUUACCAACACCCACAACCUGCAGUGAAAUAAAAGUGGAACUAAACAAAACAAUCCCAGAUUUUGCUGUGGGAGAUAUGUCCAGCUAUUUGACUACCGAAGGCACUGCAGCUGCUGAAAUCUAACUUCUAGUUUUCAACACCCUUCACUUUGGUUAGCGAGUUUUCAAGCACCAUCCUUUCAUCAAACUAUACCAAGCCCCUCUCCACAUCUUCACACCAAGGAAACCCUUCAAGCUGAGACCAAGGAAUUCCCUGAAAAACAAAGAACUGCGGACGGUGGAAAUCAGAAACAAAAACAGGAAUUGUUGGAAGAACACAGCAGGUUUGGCAGCAUCUGUGAAGAGAAAUCAAGAUACCGGCCCAGAAGCUAUUUGAUUCUCUGGUUUAGUCACGAUUUGGCAAGCAACACUCCCAGGGAGCGAUAGAAGAAAAGGAACUUUGAAUUAACAGUAACCACUGGUAAGAGAAUUUGAAAACAGGAACAAAAACAGAAGUUGCUUGAAAAGCUCAGCAAGUCUAGAAACAUCUGUGAAGAAAAAAAUAGAAUUAACAUUUCGGAUCCGGUGACUCUUCCUCAGAACUGAAAACAGGAUCUGGCUUGGACAUCAUUUUAUACCUCAACUCUUAAUUCCUAAAACCUAGGGGACCAUAUUUGGUAUACCUACUGUCUUUAAACAGACUUGAACAUUUUAGGUGAGAGAAUCAUUUACUUGAUUUCAUAGCAUACAGCGGUCAUGGGUGAAGUUGCGUGCUGUGGCCAUGUACUUUAAAAAAAAUUCUAAUGAAAUGACACAAAGCAGAAAUGUUCACUCUCAUUGUGUCAUCACAGAUGCUGCCAGACCACUUGAACGUUUCUAGCUUUUUCUGAUUUUAUUCCAAAAAAUUGCU